GAGUUUGAUCUUGGCUCAGAAUGAACGCUGGCGGCAUGCCUAACACAUGCAAGUCGAACGAAGGCUUCGGCCUUAGUGGCGCACGGGUGCGUAACGCGUGGGAAUCUGCCCCUUGGUUCGGAAUAACAGUUGGAAACGACUGCUAAUACCGGAUGAUGACGUAAGUCCAAAGAUUUAUCACCGAGGGAUGAGCCCGCGUAGGAUUAGCUAGUUGGUGUGGUAAAAGCGCACCAAGGCGACGAUCCUUAGCUGGCCUGAGAGGAUGAUCAGCCACACUGGGACUGAGACACGGCCCAGACUCCUACGGGAGGCAGCAGUGGGGAAUAUUGGACAAUGGGCGAAAGCCUGAUCCAGCAAUGCCGCGUGAGUGAUGAAGGCCUUAGGGUUGUAAAGCUCUUUUACCCGGGAUGAUAAUGACAGUACCGGGAGAAUAAGCUCCGGCUAACUCCGUGCCAGCAGCCGCCGCGGUAAU
rnacentral:rRNA from 1 species